rnacentral:rRNA from 1 species
UACGGAGGGUGCAAGCGUUAUCCGGAUUCACUGGGUUUAAAGGGUGCGUAGGUGGGCUGGUAAGUCAGUGGUGAAAUCUCCAGGCUUAACUUGGAAACUGCCAUUGAUACUAUCAGUCUUGAAUACCGUGGAGGUCAGCGGAAUAUGUCAUGUAGCGGUGAAAUGCUUAGAUAUGACAUAGAACACCGAUUGCGAAGGCAGCUUGCUACACAAUUAUUGACACUGAGGCUCGAAAGCGUGGGGAUCAAACAGG